rnacentral:rRNA from 1 species
UACGAAGGGGGCUAGCGUUGCUCGGAAUGACUGGGCGUAAAGGGCGCGUAGGCGGCUCAUAGAGUCGGGCGUGAAAUUCCCGGGCUUAACCUGGGGGCUGCAUUUGAUACGUGUGAUCUGGAGUGAGGAAGAGGGUCGUGGAAUUCCCAGUGUAGAGGUGAAAUUCGUAGAUAUUGGGAAGAACACCGGUGGCGAAGGCGGCGACCUGGUCCUUGACUGACGCUGAGGCGCGAAAGCGUGGGGAGCAAACAGG